rnacentral:rRNA from 1 species
ACAGCAGUAGCCGCGGUAAUACGUAGGGUGCGAGCGUUAAUCGGAGUUACUGGGCGUAAAGCGUGCGCAGGCGGUUAUGUAAGACAGGUGUGAAAUCCCCGGGCUUAACCUGGGAACUGCGCUUGUGACUGCACAGCUAGAGUAUGGCAGAGGGGGGUGGAAUUCCACGUGUAGCAGUGAAAUGCGUAGAGAUGUGGAGGAACACCGAUGGCGAAGGCAGCCCCUGGGCCAAUACUGACGCUCAUGCACGAAAGCGUGGGGAGCAAACAGGAUUAGAUACCCGUGUAGUCCCUGUCUCUUAUACC